CUACCGGGAUUGCCUCAGUAACGGCGAGUGAAGCGGCAAAAGCUCAAAUUUGAAAUCUGGUACCUUUGGUGCCCGAGUUGUAAUUUGUAGAGGGCUACUCUGGCAAAGGUCCUUGUCUAUGUUCCUUGGAACAGGACGUCAUAGAGGGUGAGAAUCCCGUGUGACGAGGAGUCUGCGUCGUGUAGAGUGCUCUCGAAGAGUCGAGUUGUUUGGGAAUGCAGCUCAAAGUGGGUGGUAAACUCCAUCUAAAGCUAAAUAUUGGCGAGAGACCGAUAGCGAACAAGUACAGUGAUGGAAAGAUGAAAAGAACUUUGAAAAGAGAGUGAAACAGUACGUGAAAUUGUUGAAAGGGAAGGGCAUUUGAUCAGACAUGGUGUUGUGUGGCCUUGCCCCUUGUGGGUGGGGAGCCCCGCGCAGCACUGGGCCAGCAUCAGUUUUGGCGGUGGGAUAAAUCUCUGGGAACGUGGCUUCCUCGGAAGUGUUAUAGCCCAGGGGAAUACUGCCAGCCGGGACUGAGGUCUGCGCAUCUGCAAGAUGCCUGCA
rnacentral:rRNA from 1 species